CAAGAAGGUGGUGAAAACCAGGGUAUGCUUUAAAAUUAGUUUUCUAUUUUACAAAAAAAUGUUUUAAAAGCUAAAAACAAACAAAAACUAAACUAAAAAAAAAUCCCUAAAAAUUCUGUUGCGUUCAAUGGAAGACCAACUUUUUAUUGCUGCUGGACCAAGAAAACUCGUGCAACGAACGGAGACAACUCUAACACGGAAGUCACUGAUUUCUUUUUCCGGUCCAAGAGAAGAUGAAGGUUUCCGAAGUCAGAGGAGCAUGAAGCAAGGGCAAGUAUGAAGAUGGAGCUGGAGAGUGGGCAGAGCCAGCUUCCAGUUUGAUGGUGAAAUGUGAAAAUACUAUUCUUCCAAACUGAGGUCAAUUCAAAGAAAUUUCUACAACAGAGAUGAUAAAACAAGAUGUGGACGUUCGUUCAGUCAUCCUUCUUGCUAAUGUAAGAGUCGCUUCUGCUCGGAUGAUCAAGAUGAUGAAGAUGAGAGCGCAGCAGAGCAGCAGCUGAUAUGCUCAGGAGGCAGAAGCUCAUUGUAUGGC